UACGUAGGUGGCAAGCGUUAUCCGGAAUUAUUGGGCGUAAAGAGCGUGUAGGCGGCCAUGCAGGUCCGUUGUGAAAACUCGAGGCUCAACCUCGAGACGCCGAUGGAAACCGCAUGGCUAGAGUCCGGAAGGGGCGAGUGGAAUUCCUGGUGUAGCGGUGAAAUGCGCAGAUAUCAGGAGGAACACCAAUGGCGAAGGCAGCUCGCUGGAACGGUACUGACGCUGAGGCGCGAAAGCGUGGGGAGCAAACAGG
rnacentral:rRNA from 1 species